GCCGGGCUGCUGACCCCGCGGCGCUGACCCCGCGCACGGCCUGGGCGGGACCCGGGACCCGGGACCCGGGGGUGGGGGCCUGGAGCCUGCGCCCUGCCGCCUGGGGGCCCGGCCUCGGCGCCCGGCAGCUGGAAGCGCCCGCAGAGGUGCCCGCGAGCCGGGCUGCAGGACUGGGCGGAGAUGCCCCUGGUGGGAGCUCAUACGUUUGGAAGGUUAUACACAGCCAUGCACCUUCACAUGACAAGAGGGUUCAACACCAACAUCAGAAAGCAAAGGCUCUCGCCGGUCCUCAGGGUGCCCGCAGGGAUG